CCCGCUCGAGGUGUCGCCAGCCGCCGCGGUAAUACGUAGGGGGCAAGCGUUAUCCGGAUUUACUGGGUGUAAAGGGAGCGCAGACGGCGCGGCAAGUCCGGAGUGAAAGCCCGGGGCCAACCCCGGGACUGCUCUGGAAACUGCGGCGCUCGAGUGCCGGAGGGGCAGGCGGAAUUCCUAGUGUAGCGGUGAAAUGCGUAGAUAUUAGGAGGAACACCAGUGGCGAAGGCGGCCUGCUGGACGGCGACUGACGUUGAGGCUCGAAAGCGUGGGGAGCAAACAGG
rnacentral:rRNA from 1 species